rnacentral:rRNA from 1 species
AACGAACGCUGGCGGCAUGCCUAACACAUGCAAGUCGAACGAGACCUUCGGGUCUAGUGGCGCACGGGUGCGUAACGCGUGGGAAUCUGCCCUUGGGUUCGGAAUAACAGUUAGAAAUGACUGCUAAUACCGAAUGAUGUCUUCGGACCAAAGAUUUAUCACCCAGGGAUGAGCCCGCGUCGGAUUAGCUAGUUGGUGAGGUAAAGGCUCACCAAGGCGACGAUCCGUAGCUGGUCUGAGAGGAUGAUCAGCCACACUGGGACUGGGACAAGGCCCAGACUCCUACGGGAGGCAGCUUUGGGGAAUAUUGGACGAUGGGCGAAAGCCUUAUCCAGCGAUGCCGCGUGAGUGAUGAAGGCCUUAGGGUUGUAAAGCUCUUUUACCCGGGAUGAUAAUGACAGUACCGGGAGAAUAAGCCCCGGCUAACUCCGUGUCAGCCGCCGCCGUAACAC